UACGUAGGGUGCGAGCGUUAAUCGGAAUUACUGGGCGUAAAGGGUGCGCAGGCGGUUCUGCAAGUCAGACGUGAAAUCCCUCGGCUUAACCGGGGAACUGCGUCUGAUACUGGAUGGCUUGAGUUUGGGAGAGGGAUGCGGAAUUCCAGGUGUAGCGGUGAAAUGCGUAGAUAUCUGGAGGAACACCGGUGGCGAAGGCGGCAUCCUGGACCAACACUGACACUGAGGAGCGAAAGCCAGGGGAGCAAACGGG
rnacentral:rRNA from 1 species